rnacentral:rRNA from 1 species
CAGUCGCCGCGGUAAUACGUAGGGCGCGAGCGUUAAUCGGAAUUACUGGGCGUGAAGCGUGCGCAGGCGGUUAUAUAAGUCAGAUGUGAAAUCCCCGGGCUCAACCUGGGAACUGCAUUUGAGACUGUAUGGCUAGAGUGUGUCAGAGGGGGGUAGAAUUCCACGUGUAGCAGUGAAAUGCGUAGAUAUGUGGAGGAAUACCGAUGGCGAAGGCAGCCCCCUGGGAUAACACUGACGCUCAUGCACGAAAGCGUGGGGAGCAAACAGGAUUAGAUACCCCCGUAGUCCCUGUCUCUUAUAC